rnacentral:lncRNA from 1 species
AACGAGAAUUAACAGAUGGUUGUAAGCUAUUAUGUGGGUGCUAGAAACUGAACCCAGGAUUUCUGCAAGAGUUUUUCACUGCUGAGCCACCUCUCCUGCUUUUGAAUGUUUGUUUGUUUUGGAGGUAAAGUUUCACUUAGGCCAGAUUGGCCUUAAACUCAAUGAUCCUCCAACCUCAUCCUCCCAAGUGCUGGUAUUAUAGAUACGCUUAAGAGUUGAGGCCUUUUUUAAAAAAUCUAAACAGCUUCACUGUAAGGUUAGAAAUAAAAAUAUACUAUUGUGUCUAUAGUAAGGCUUGCAGCGAAUUGGUGGGGGUUCAUUGUAUUUCUGGGCUUCAGUAGUGUCUUCUACCUUUGCCAAUCUUUUCUCCCCCUAUAACUGAGUCUCAUGGUGUUUUAUCCUCUCUGGGUUUGCUCCAUAGAAAUUAACUUUGUUUAUUUUUAGAAGAAAUAACCCCACUGAAUAUGCCUUUGAUUGUAAUAUGCCCAUUUCAACUUAACAGUAACCAGCAAAAUCUUAUUCCUAUGUAUUUGCUCAGCAUGAGGAUAUUUGACUGAGAUCACAGUAAUUCAAACUCUGAAAAUUAUACGAAACAUUCUGUUCUAAUAAUCCUUUGCUAAAAGAGAUAUUUGGACAAAGAUAGUGAGUUCUGAAAGGUAGGCUUUGCUUAUUUACUUAUUUACUUACUUGAGGUAGGGUUUGUCUGUAUAGCCCUGGCUGUCUUGGAACAUUUUCCGUAGACCAGGCUGGUCUUGAACUCAAAGAUCUGCCUGCCUUCCUUGAGUGCUGGACUUAGGACAUGAUGGCAUGUAUCGCCAUCACCGCAUGGCAGGUUCUGCUUAUGUGACAAAAGUGUGAACAUAAUUCAUAUUCUGUUAGUUAACAGUAUUUUCAGCUUACCAUCAGAUAUAUUGAUUCCAUAUAGGCAUUUAAGUUUCUGGAAAAUUCUAAAAUACUGAUGAAAGGGACCUAGGAAAUGACUUACCAGUUCCUCAUUCUAAAUUUUUCUCUUUGAGGUGAAAAGGUAUUUCUCAUCACAAUUGAAAAAAAAAUAAUGUCACAUUUAGAACUAUUUUUUAAUCACCUAAUUAACAUUUAUGCUUAUGGGAGAAACUCAUAUCUUCCCUUAUAUUUAUUGCUAUUUCUUUUUUUAAAAAAAUAUUUAUUUAUUUUAUGUAUAUGAGUACACAGUCACUGUCUUCAGACACACCAGAAGAGGGCAUCAGAUCCCAUUACAGAUGAUUGUGAGCCAGUAUGUGAUUGCUGGGAACUGAACUCGGGACCUCUGGAAGAGCAGCCAGUGCACCUUAACCGCUAAGCCAUCUCUCCAGCCUUUUUUGCUAUUUCUUAACAUUCUCUUUAUUUCUACCAAGCAUACGUUAAGAUUCAGAAGGUAGACAGAUCUUAAGGUCUCCCAGUCCCUGUUGCUAGCCUUACGGGUGCUUUGUUCCUCUGUUCCUCCGUGGUGAACUGUUUAUUGCUGGGCUGGGCUGCUCAUCAAGCGGUAGUUGGUAAUAGUGAGCUUUGUACACUAUUUGGAUAAAUAGUUUACCUUUUCCUAGUGUUUCUAAUUGAAGUUCCAUGGGUUUGGUAACUAAGUAUUUGUUUUCUUCUCCCUCUUUUAAAGUUCUCUGGGCUGUGAUCCUGCUCCUGUACCUGGGUCUCUCAUUCUGCUCAGUCCUCAGUUUGUCCUGUAUUCUAUCCAUUGCCCCUGGCUUCUGAGGUACUGAAAGGGACUGUGCUCUCUAGCUAAGACCUAGGUAACCCAACUGUUUACCUACCACUUCUCCCUUGGUUAUAACAAAGCAUUAGAAAUACAUAAUAAAAUUACAAAUUCUCAAA